ACUUUGCUGAUGUGUGCCAAAUAGCACGAAACCUAGGUCUAGAAU
rnacentral:hammerhead_ribozyme from 1 species